rnacentral:rRNA from 1 species
UACGUAGGUGGCAAGCGUUACUCGGAAUUACUAGGCGUAAAGCGCAGGUAGGUGGUUGGGUAAGUCUGUCAUGAAAUCUCCCGGCUUAACUGGGAGAGGUUGAUGGAUACUGUCCGGCUUGAGUGUGGCAGAGGUAACUGGAAUUCCAGGUGUAGCGGUGAAAUGCGUAGAUAUCUGGAGGAACACCGAUGGCGAAGGCAAUCCCCUGGGCCUGCACUGACGCUCAUGCACGAAAGCGUGGGGAGCAAACAGG